GUUUCUGUAGUGUAGUGGUUAUCGCAUUUGCCUGACACGCAAAAGGUCCCUGGUUCAAAACCAGGUAGAAACA